rnacentral:misc_RNA from 1 species
GCUGCAGAGCGGGACAAGGGUGCUGCCGGCACAGGGCUGACCACAGAGCACAUCAAAAGAGCCUCAGCCUGAAGCCCUCGGAGGCCCCUGAACUGGAUGAGGACGAGGGCUUUGGCGACUGGUCCCAGAGGCCAGAGCAGCGGCAGCAGCACGAGGGGGCGCAGGGCGCCUUGGACAGCGGAGAGCCCCCCCAGUGCAGGAGUCCUGAGGGGGAGCAAGAGGACAGGCCCGGCCUGCAUGCCUACGAAAAGGAGGACAGUGAUGAAGUCCACCUGGAGGAGUUGAGUCUGAGCAAGGAGGGGCCAGGCCCAGAGGACACUGUCCAGGACAACCUGGGGGCCGCAGGGGCUGAGGAGGAACAGGAGGAGCACCAGAAAUGUCAGCAGCCCAGGACACCCAGCCCCUUGGUCUUGGAGGGGACCAUCGAACAGAGCUCGCCUCCCCUGAGCCCUACCACCAAACUCAUCGACAGGACCGAGUCCCUAAACCGCUCCAUAGAGAAGAGUAACAGUGUGAAGAAAUCCCAGCCAGACUUGCCCAUCUCCAAGAUUGAUCAGUGGCUGGAACAAUACACCCAGGCCAUCGAGACCGCUGGCCGGACCCCCAAGCUAGCCCGCCAGGCCUCCAUAGAGCUGCCCAGCAUGGCUGUGGCCAGUACCAAGAGUCGGUGGGAGACGGGUGAGGUACAGGCUCAGUCUGCGGCCAAGACUCCGUCCUGCAAGGAUAUUGUGGCUGGAGACAUGAGCAAGAAAAGCCUCUGGGAGCAGAAGGGAGGCUCCAAGACCUCAUCAACAAUUAAGAGCACCCCAUCUGGGAAGAGGUAUAAGUUUGUGGCCACCGGGCAUGGGAAGUAUGAGAAGGUGCUUGUGGAAGGGGGCCCGGCUCCCUAGGCGUCCCAUCUCG